rnacentral:rRNA from 1 species
UACGUAGGGUGCGAGCGUUAAUCGGAAUUACUGGGCGUAAAGCGUGCGCAGGCGGCGCGUUAAGACAGGUGUGAAAGCCCCGAGCUUAACUUGGGAAUUGCGCUUGUGACUGGCGAGCUGGAGUGUGGCAGAGGGAGGUGGAAUUCCACGUGUAGCAGUGAAAUGCGCAGAUAUCAGGAAGAACACCCGUGGCGAAGGCGGCUCUCUGGGCCGAUACUGACGCUGAGGAGCGAAAGCGUGGGGAGCGAACAGG